UUUUCUCCCUGAGGAAAAUAUUCAUUUUAUAUAUUACUUCAAGCUUUUACACUAUCUUUGUGCCCUGAAUUUUUUUAUCUGAACCUCCAGGUUUCUAUUUUCUUUGUCCAAUUACUACUUCUCCUUGGCUCUAAGAUCUUUCCCAACUCCUCAGGGAAAUGUGCCUUUUUCCUGAGCAGCUGCUUGUGCAUUUGUUGUUGUCAUUUGUUGGUAUUGUUGUCCUUUGUUCUGUUUUCCUUGAAGCCUCCUUGUGAAGAGAAUAUAUACAGAAUCCAAACUCCCUCUUCGCAGAUCACGCAAAGGUAAUACAACGAAUUCUUGAGAGUCUGAAAGAUCUGGAUUCAGAACACAGCUUUAUGAGUAGGCAAAUUAAAUCGCCUCCCUUAACCUCAAUACCCUCAUUUGUAAAAUGGGGAUUCCAGUAACUACUUCCUAGUGUUGUUGCCAGGAUUUGACGGGAGGACAUGUGCAAAGACGCCAGGAUGCCAGAACACUUCCAGGCAUCCCAAGUCUGGCUAACUGAAAUCAUUUCAAACUUGAGUUCAGCACUUUUCCUGAGCAAGGUUUCUAUUGUUGUUAAAUUUAACAUCACUGGGGCCAGCGCUGUGGCGUAGUGGGAAAAGCUGCUGCCUGCAGUACCAGCAUCCCGUAUGGGCACCGGUCCUAGUCCUGGCUGCUCCACUUUCGAUCCAGCUCUCUGCUAUGGCCUGGGAUAGCAGUGGAAGAUGGCCCAAGUCCUUAGGCCUCUGCGCAUGUGUGGGAGACCUGGAGGAAGAUCCUGGUUCCUGGCUUUGGAUCAGUGCAGCUCCAGCCAUUGUGGCCAAUUGCAGAGCGAACCAGCAGAUGGAAGACGUCACUCUCACUCUCUCUCUCUCUCUCUCUCUCCCUCCCUCCCUCCCUCUCUCCAUCUUUCUCUCUCUCUCUCUCUCUCUCCCUCCCUCCCUCCCUCCCUCCAUCUUUCUCUCUCUCUCUCUCUCUCUCCUCUCUGUGUGUAACUGACUUUCAAAUAAGUAAAUAAAUAAAUCUUUAAAAAAAAUUACACCGUCAAUCUUUAUAGCCAACACAUUCAGAAGACAUGAACCUUCUGCACCACAAAAAUAUUACAUUGAUUCCUUGAGUAAUCCCAAGGAAAUCUAUAUUUGGGAGAUAAACAGCCCUAAUCCUUUCUAUCCUAUAAAUAUUGCUUCCAGUGCAAGCUGAAAUACAGACUCAUUUGUGGAUUUCCAACAAAAGAAUCAGCUUUUGUAGAGCUGAGUUUUAUCCCAAUUACCAGAUCUCCUUAAAGAGAGCUUCCUGACCUGAACAACCACACUUCGCAUACAUAAAGGUAUUUCUUAAGUCAGAUACAUCCACAGGUUGAUAACCGUUGAGUUAGAUUCCUAAGUGGAGUCCAUAAAGAAUUCACUGUGGAAGAAGGCCUAGAUCUAACAAAGAUGAACUUAAACCACAGAGCUAUAUCUUCAAUGCAACUGUUGUAAAUUAAUGGUUUCCCACCACAAAUGAUCAAUUUUAUUGAGUGGCAUCAUAGAUUCUAAAGCCAGAUGUGCUAUGUAUUCAGGUGAUAACAGAAGAUGAAUGUUUUCUGCAUGUAUCUUCCUGAAUUUGCUCUUUAUGAAAUAUGGGACAACUUUUCCCUUUGCUUUUGAGCUUAUCAAAACCAAAACCAAAAUACAUAAUCCAUUCUUUACAUGAAGCACAUUCUGAAUUCACUGAAUUUUUUUCUAUAUUAUAAAUGCCAGGCUUUACAUUUCGUAUUCUCUAAGUCAAGAUUCUUUGUAGUCUGACCUAAGCUAUAAAGGAGAUAAAACCGAGAUUUCAGAUACUGACUUAACACUGCUAAAAGGGAUGGGGGUGGGGAGGUACUUGCUUCUCGAAAACAAUUUGGUGCCUUAAUUUUCCACAAAGUUCCCAUCAGAUGUUAUCAAAUUCAACACACUGCACAGAUGGGAAAGACUGACUAUUGAAACAAUUAACUAUUGUGAGUCAUUUCCUCAAUCUGCUUUUGUUGUAGCCAAUAUGUCAAGUGGUGACAGACACUGUUAAAUUUCACAAGCUCUCCUGUCUUCUUGGAAACAGCAUAACACAAUUGACAUAGCUCAGCUGGAUAAAUCUGCCAGACUAAUGGUGGGGCCUCUCUCCUGUUGAUUUUCAGUGCCAAAACCCAAAGAUACUAUGUAGAGCCCAUUCAACAAGAAGAAUACAAAGUCCAUUUUAUUCUGUCUGAAGACUCCUGCCUGAUCACUUGCUGGCUCCUAGAAUCCCUUUGUAUUGAGGCUAACAUGAACAAAAUAAAAAUUUUUUAUUCAGUCUCCACAGUCUCAGAAAAAGACCAUUAUGGGGCAUGAGUUGUGAGUUUCAGCUCUCAGCGACCUGGUGGACCACUCACUACUUUAAACAACUUUCAGAUGAUCAAGAGCUACUGUUCCAAAUAAAACUAAACCAGACCAGUCUUGGAUAUAUAACUGUACUACUCACGCGCAUCAUGUCAUUUGCAUGUCUAAAGAUGAGGAAGGUAAAAGCCAUGAGGUUUCUGUCGCAUGAUGGUCUUAUUCCAAACAGGAAAAAAACUCCUGGGCAGCCUCUCCAACACAAUCUUCCAACUCACUAACCAGUCCCUUAACACUCCCAUCGUGUGCAUGGCACACAGUCUACUACCUUCUAGAACGCAUUUCUAACCAACUCUGGAAGAAAGCACAACAACUCCUCAGGCACUCAGGUUAGCCAGGAGCCAGGCCAAGGCCCACUCUCCAAGAACAGAGACGGGUUAGAGGAUCUGACCCAGCUGCAGCAGCCAGCUCCAGGCGGAUGACGAAUUACCAUUGCAGACAUACAACAGCAACACCCAAGCCAAGAUUGGACAGUGAACCUAACAGCUGGCAUGCCAGAAAAAAAUCAAUAGCAGGGAUACUGGAACUCAUCAGAGAGACUACACAAACACAGCAAGAAAAAAAAAAAUCACACAAUCACACUGACUGGUCUCACUUAAAAUUCAUGACCACUGCUCUCAAAUGGGUCUUUAAUGUUCCUGGGAAUCAUACUACAAUUCUCUAGCUUAUUUUCUCACCCACUCCCAUAGAUGUUUUUUCACAACUCCCCACUUCUCAAACUUCUCCAAUUACACCUGUCCCCUCCAUUCAGAUGACUUCCUUUCCCUUUCAUUAAAAAAAGUGAAGCAACGAAAAAAGAAUCUGCACAGAUUUCUACCACCCUCUCUACCUACCCACCAACAUCCGUAUUCAGAUAG